rnacentral:rRNA from 1 species
CACAUGCUGUGAGCUCGAUGAGUAGGGCGGGACACGUGGUAUCCUGUCUGAAUAUGGGGGGACCAUCCUCCAAGGCUAAAUACUCCUGACUGACCGAUAGUGAACCAGUACCGUGAGGGAAAGGCGAAAAGAACCCCGGCGAGGGGAGUGAAAAAGAACCUGAAACCGUGUACGUACAAGCAGUGGGAGCACGCUUAGGCGUGUGACUGCGUACCUUUUGUAUAAUGGGUCAGCGACUUAUAUUCUGUAGCAAGGUUAACCGAAUAGGGGAGCCGAAGGGAAACCGAGUCUUAACUGGGCGUUAAGUUGCAGGGUAUAGACCCGAAACCCGGUGAUCUAGCCAUGGGCAGGUUGAAGGUUGGGUAACACUAACUGGAGGACCGAACCGACUAAUGUUGAAAAAUUAGCGGAUGACUUGUGGCUGGGGGUGAAAGGCCAAUCAAACCGGGAGAUAGCUGGUUCUCCCCGAAAGCUAUUUAGGUAGCGCCUCGUGAAUUCAUCUCCGGGGGUAGAGCACUGUUUCGGCAAGGGGGUCAUCCCGACUUACCAACCCGAUGCAAACUGCGAAUACCGGAGAAUGUUAUCACGGGAGACACACGGCGGGUGCUAACGUCCGUCGUGAAGAGGGAAACAACCCAGACCGCCAGCUAAGGUCCCAAAGUCAUGGUUAAGUGGGAAACGAUGUGGGAAGGCCCAGACAGCCAGGAUGUUGGCUUAGAAGCAGCCAUCAUUUAAAGAAAGCGUAAUAGCUCACUGGUCGAGUCGGCCUGCGCGGAAGAUGUAACGGGGCUAAACCAUG